GGCGUAAAGCGCAUGCAGGUGGGAAGGUAAGUCUGAUGUGAAAGCCCUGGGCUUAACCUGGGAAGUGCAUUGGAUACUGCUUUUCUUGAGUCCUGUAGAGGGGGGUAGAAUUUC
rnacentral:rRNA from 1 species